AAAGUCUUGUAUGACACAAUGAGUUCAGUUCAUUUUCUACACAGUAAUACGCGAAGUAAUUUUUCUGAACUGAAAUCAUGAAGUCAAUAUCUCUGGCGUUUUUGGUAAUUUUUUUAUGUGGCGAGGUGUACAUCAAAGAGGUCACGGCAGAUGUAUCCUAUAAGACGAUAACUAAAAAAUUUCACACUACUGCUGGUGAAAAUUUUUGGGAAUUUGAGUUGACGCAACUAUUUACCUUUUGUGAUGACAGCAACACCAUUCCAACUGUUCAACUCAUAGACUCAUUGGUUGAAAUAACAACAAAAACCGUUCUACCAAAAGCAUUCAAUGAAGUGGUGGACACUACCGAUAUGAUGGAAAAUCGAGGAAAAAUGAAUAGGCUAUACGCUGAAAUGAAAUCAUAUCUCACUUAGUUUGCAACUCUAUUAGCACCCCUCCCAACGGAACUCCUAACUAUGUACAAUCAUUGGCAAAAGAAACCCAUUAAUCAGAUGACUAUGCAGCAAUUGAACGUUAGUUUAGUCCAAAUCAAAAAUGAGCAUACCCAAUACCACAAUUCAUUUAUCACUGAACUUAAUUCUGCGUUGGCUACAAAGAUUUAUUUUGAAAAUUCAUCAAAUAGUCUUGCAACUUCGUUGAAUACUUUGCUCUUUGAUACUCGGACUGUAGGUCCACAGAUGGAUGUUGAAUUUGAGAGAUUAAAGAUGAUCAAAAUCGAUUAUGAGGCAUAUCAAACAUUAUUGUUGUCUCAUCUUAAUGUGGCUUUGACGGCCAUCAAGGGAUACUGUAAACACCGCGAAGAGUUAGCCAAAUUCAUAAUGACCAGUUAAAAUUGAGUAGUCAGUCAUAUUUUUGUGGAUGCCUUUGCAAACUUUAUAACAUAUGACAUUUUAAAUGUAUUCGAAUAAAAGAGUAUGAUACAGCUUCAAA